GACGAACGCUGGCGGCAUGCCUAAUACAUGCAAGUCGAGCGAACAGAUGAAGUGCUUGCACUUCUGACGUUAGCGGCGAACGGGUGAGUAACACGUAAGGAAUCUACCUAUAAGCGGGGGAUAACAUUCGGAAACGGGUGCUAAUACCGCAUAAUAUCUUCUUCCGCAUGGAAGAAGAUUGAAAGACGGCUCUGCUGUCACUUAUAGAUGACCUUGCGGUGCAUUAGUUAGUUGGUGGGGUAACGGCCUACCAAGACGAUGAUGCAUAGCCGACCUGAGAGGGAGAUCGGCCACAUUGGGACUGAGACACGGCCCAAACUCCUACGGGAGGCAGCAGUAGGGAAUCUUCCGCAAUGGGCGAAAGCCUGACGGAGCAAUGCCGCGUGAGUGAAGAAGGCCUUCGGGUCGUAAAACUCUGUUAUAAGAGAAGAACAAAUUGUAGAGUAACUGCUACGGUCUUGACGGUAUCUUAUCAGAAAGCCACGGCUAACUACGUGCCAGCCGCCGCAGUAA
rnacentral:rRNA from 1 species